UGCCUCUAAAACCUACUCCCCCAUCCCAGUCGACUGUCUGGAGGAGGAGACCAGGAUACGAUCCGCUGACGACGGCAAACUCUUCAGAGAGGAGUUCAAUUCAUUGCCUGCUGGAUAUACCCAGGGGACAUGUGAGGAGGCCAACAAGGAAGUCAACAAAGAAAAGAACAGAUAUCCCAACAUCCUUCCAUAUGACCAUUCCAGGGUGGUGUUAACACAGCUAGAUGGAAACCUCUGUUCGGACUACAUCAACGCUUCAUAUAUCGAUG